rnacentral:rRNA from 1 species
AGCGUGCGCAGGCGGUUAUGCAAGACAGAGGUGAAAUACCCCGGGCCUCAACCUGGGAACUGCCUUUGUGACUGCAUAGCUAGAGUACGGUAGAGGGGGAUGGAAUUCCGCGUGUAGCAGUGAAAUGCGUAGAUAUGCGGAGGAACACCGAUGGCGAAGGCAAUCCCCUGGACCUGUACUGACGCUCAUGCACGAAAGCGUGGGGAGCAAACAGGAUUAGAUACCCCAGU